rnacentral:rRNA from 1 species
GACGGACGCUGGCGGCGUGCCUAAUACAUGCAAGUCGAGCGCUGAAGGCUGGUACUUGUUCCAACUGGAUGAGCAGCGAACGGGGGAGUAACGCGUGGGCAAUCUGCCUUUGAGCGGGGGACAACAUUUGGAAACGAAUGCUAAUACCGCAUAAAAACUUUAAACACAAGUUUUAAGUUUGAAAGAUGCAAUUGCAUCACUCAAAGAUGAUCCCGCGUUGUAUUAGGUAGUUGGUGAGGUAAAGGCUCACCAAGGCGGUGAUACAUAGCCGACCUGAGAGGGUGAGCGGCCACAUUGGGACGGGGACAGGGCACAACGUCCUGGGGGGGAGAGCAGUAGGGAAUUUUCGGGAAAGGAAGAAAGUCUGACCAAGUGACGCCGGGGGAGUGACGAGGCGUGUCGGGUCGGGGAACUCUGGUGGGGGGGACGAAGGUUAGUGAGAGUGGAACGCUCAGCUAGUGACGGUAACUUCACAGAAAGCGACGGCUAACUACGUG